GAUAAUAUGUCUGAUUUAAGUAGUAAAUUGUAAAUUUAUUUAAGAAAUUUGUUUCUGUUAUUA
rnacentral:tRNA from 1 species